UUUUUGCAUCGCAUGUGAGGGUUUGUUGGGUGCUCCUAAACCCUCAUCAUGGUCAUUCUUCUUGGCUGGGCUGUUGAUUUAAUUAGGUUUGCCUUCUCUUGCUAACGUGCUCUUAUUUAUGCCAGUGUUUGUGGUUCUGGGUGUAGACUUUCAGGAAGCACAGCCAUGAAGCUGCAUGCGUCUGUGUGUGGAUGCCUCAUGCCUUUUCCUGGUGGUUUGCAGGCAUGGAAGAUUCUUCUGUUCAUCUAAGCUCCUGACUUUAGGCCCUUCUAGAACAUUAGAGAGGAGAAGAAAUCACGUGCAAGGAUUUAGGGACAAGAGGAUGAGGUUUUGGUGUUUCCUUUCUGGUAUUAGGUUUUCCAGAGAGAGGCUGUUAGCCUGUCUCUCGCCCACUCCACCACUGUGAAUCCUGGCUACUGGGGCUAGUUCCUUGCUAGGAAAAAAAAACUCUAGAGAAAUGUGUUUGUGUGUGGUGGGUGGGCGGGGGCCCUGAGGAUGCAGGGACUGUGUCUGCUGUGUUGUCUGUUAUAAGAUGUUUCAGACCUAUUUUGCAUACUGGCAGCGACAAGUUGAGACUUGUUCAACUUGACACAGUCCUGUGGUCAUAGCGAAUCUUUCUAAAGCUCUGAUCAGUCAAGAAGGGGGUUGUAUCAAUCCUCAGAACCCUGAGUGGAACUUUCUACAGGAUUUAUUAGGAGAAAAACCUUCCCGGAAGCUGCAGAAGGACAAAUACAGAAUCCGUGUCUGGGAGAAACCUCGUGGCCUGGUCUCCAUUAUUUGAGAUGAGUUACAUCUUGGAGGUGAGGACGUGCCUCGUGGUCUAAAGCUUCGGCACAAGGGCCCAACUGGAAUUCCACUUACGGGCCUGAUCUUUUGGCCAGAAGGAGAUUAAAAAGAUGCCCCUCAAGAUGGCUGUGCCUGUCAGCUGCAUGGAGCUUCGUUCAAGUAUUUUCUGAGCCUGAUGGAUUUACAGUGAUCUUCAGUGGUCUGGGGAAUAACGCUGGUGGAACCAUGCACUGGAAUGACACACGCCCGGCACAUUUCAGGAUACUAAAAGUGGUUUUAAGGGAGGCUGUGGCUGAAUGCCUCAUGGAUUCUUACAGCUUGGAUGUCCAUGGGGGACGAAGGACUGCAGCUGGCUGAGAGGGUUGAGAUCUCUGUUUACUUAGAUCUCUGCCAACUUCCUUUGGGUCUCCCUAUGGAAUGUAAGACCCCGACUCUUCCUGGUGAAGCAUCUGAUGCACGUUCCAUCCGGCGCUCAGCUGGGCUUGAGAAUCCUGUUACACCUGGGAUUUAGGCACUUUCAAUCUGAAAAAAUACAUAUCCUUUCAGCACUCUGGACGGACUUGAGAACUGUCCUUACGUGACCUAAAGCUGGAGUAUUUUGAGAUUGGAGAAUUAAGAGUGUGGGCACCCUGGCUUCAAGCUCACGAGAAACCAGGUCGGGAUUUAAACAAUGUUGGGUUAAAGCAAAGUUUCAUAAAGACAGAAUCAAGAAAAAAAGAAAGAGAAA
rnacentral:lncRNA from 1 species